rnacentral:rRNA from 1 species
AGUGAACGCUGGCGGUAGGCCUAACACAUGCAAGUCGAACGGCAGCACAGUAAGAGCUUGCUCUUACGGGUGGCGAGUGGCGGACGGGUGAGGAAUACAUCGGAAUCUACUUUUUCGUGGGGGAUAACGUAGGGAAACUUACGCUAAUACCGCAUACGACCUACGGGUGAAAGCAGGGGAUCUUCGGACCUUGCGCGAUUGAAUGAGCCGAUGCCGGAUUAGCUAGUUGGCGGGGGAAAGGCCCACCAAGGCGACGAGCCGUAGCUGGUCUGAGAGGAUGAUCAGCCACACUGGAACUGAGACACGGUCCAGACUCCUACGGGAGGCAGCAGUGGGGAAUAUUGGACAAUGGGCGCAAGCCUGAUCCAGCCAUACCGCGUGGGUGAAGAAGGCCUUCGGGUUGUAAAGCCCUUUUGUUGGGAAAGAAAAGCAGCAGGUUAAUACCCCGCUGUUCUGACGGUACCCAAAGAAUAAGCACCGGCUAACUUCGUG